GGGGAUGAUCGGCCUAGACAAGGGAUCACCUCUCGCACGUGCGAAGCCGAGGAUUCUCUUAUUCUCGUAAAACCAAGAGAAAAAACUCAGUUGCAAAAAACAACCUAGUUGCAAAAGCAAAGUCAAUCGUCUCGCCUUUCUUUAAGGCGAGCGACUUCGCUCCGGUUUACGCUAUCGCCUAAACCGCAUUCGUCCUUGCCGACGUCCGAUACGCAAGGCGGGUGAUAUAUAUUUCGGAAUAGCGACGAUGCCGUCUCAACAUCAUCGCGAAACUUAGAGACUCGAACGUAUGAAGCGUUGCUUGUUUAAUAUUCAUGCGUUUUAAAUUCCUUUCAAAGGAAUAAAACAAGAUAUGCUCUGUAGACUCUUGCGAGAAAAUCUUUUGCACGGGGGUUCGAUUCCCCCCAUCUCCACUC
rfam:Parcubacteria bacterium GW2011_GWA2_49_16 TY42_C0010, whole genome shotgun sequence.